rnacentral:rRNA from 1 species
GACGAACGCUGGCGGCGUGCUUAACACAUGCAAGUCGAACGGAAAGGCCCUGCUUUUGUGGGGUGCUCGAGUGGCGAACGGGUGAGUAACACGUGAGUAACCUGCCCUUGACUUUAGGAUAACUUCAGGAAACUGGGGCUAAUACCUGCUAGGAGCUCCUGCUGCAUGGUGGGGGUUGGAAAGUUUCGGCGGUUGGGGAUGGACUCGCGGGUUAUCAGCUUGUGGGUGGGGUAGUGGCUUACCGAGGCAUUGACGGGUAGGCGGCAUGAGAGGGUGACCGGCGACCUUGGGACAGCGAUAGGCCGCAGUGGCGUAUGGUAGGCAGCGGUGGGGAAUCUUGCCCAAUGGGCGGACGUGUGAUGAAGAAACGCUCGGAGUGUGAUGACGGCUUUCGGGUUGUAAACCGCAUUAGGCUGUGACGAAGCGUGAGUGACGGUAAUGGGUAAAGAAGCACCGGCUAACUACGUG